AGCGACACAUGAGUUAGAGAUCAAUUCAAAUUAUGUUGAUGUUUUGCCUCGGAGUAUCAAGAUCGUUAGGAUACACGUAACGUAAGAAUAAACAGACUCGGAGCAAAACAAUGUUGCCGCUACGUGUAACCGUGUGAACAAAGACGAAUUUCAAUUUUCCGACUCUCCCCCCAGCGGUAUAAAUAAGCAGACGCGAUCGCGAGGAAAUGAGUCACAGUCAGUUGUCGAUCAGUUAUCAAACAGUUAUCAACGAAUUAUCAGCGAUCUAAUUAACGAGUCAUUAGCGAUCCUAUUUUACGACUUAUACACUGUCUUAGCGAAUCGGUCAGAGCGAUCGU